CUCCUCCCUCCCCCCAAUUUCAUUGGUCCCGCCCCGAGAAAAAAAAACCCUAACCCCAAAAAAUUCCGCUGCCCUUAAUCUGCUCCCUCAGACGCCCCCCUCUCCCUCUCUCUCUCUCUCUCGUCUAUCUCUCCUCUCAGAUCUCUCUAUCCGAGAUCCAGGGGCGCCGCUGAGGCGGUUCCCCCGGUUCUGCGAACAGGGCCCCCCACUUGGGGGCCCCCCAUUCCUCCUCCUCUUCCCCUCUCACCCUCCCCAAAAUUCUCCAUCGUCAUCGACGCCGGCAGCACCGGGACCCGAAUCCACGUGUUCGGGUACAAGGCCCGACCCAGAUCUGCGAUCCCUUUUGAGAUUGAUCUCGACUCGACGGCGGAGAUGAAGGUGAGGCCUGGGCUCUCGGCUUUUGCGGGGGAUCCGGGGAGAGCCGGGGAUUCGUUGAGGGAGUUGGUGGAGUUCAAUCUUGGCUCGAUUCUCUAGAAACGAGUUCAGUCUGGAUUCGAAAGCCACCAUUGGGGUUGAGUUUCAGACUUGAACCCUCGCGAUUGAUCACAAGACCGUCAAGGCCCAGAUUUGGGGCACCGCUGGCCAAGAAAGGUAAUAAAUAAAUUCUUCGAAUUCUGGGUAUAAUUUGAUUUGUAGAGGAUAUUUUUGUUAAUUAUGUUUGAAUAAUGGAAAAGAUGCCGCGGCAUUAGUUGAUCUUUCCUCUGAGAUGCGGCGCAUUGGGGAAGGAUUUUAAUGUUCAAAUGCCACCAGAUACAUGAAUUUAAAGCAGAAUUCAAAAUAAAUGCUGCAGCACGAAUCCAUGUUUCGAUACAUGACAAAGGCACGCAAUCUGUUAACGCAUAUUAGAAUAUUGUUGUUUCGAUUGAGGUAGAUUACUGGGCGCUUUCACAGAACCUCGCAUGAAACUUAGCUCAUUCGAUAAAAUUGUUUCUUGGAUUAACUUUGUACGUUAGGAACUGGCUGUUGACCAUCUGUUUUUUUUUGGGUCCUUGUUUGUUUCCCCCCCUAAUAAUGGGAUUAAUGGAGAUGAUAUUUGGUGAUUAUUACAAGGCAUUGGGAGUUUGACUUGAUAGGAUAUCUAGUUCUGUUCUUUAGAUGGAAAUAAUUGAUAGUGAUUCCAAUAUAACCUCCAUUUUCCCUUGCACUUCUUAAACCCCAUUGUGAUCUUGUUCAUUUUGCUUAUCCAAUCACAAACCUCGAAAAAACAAUAAAAGUGACUGCUAUUUUAUGUUAAGACAGCUUUAAAAUCUUGGUUUAUCAUGGUUCUAGCUCUUCUUUAUUGGAAUUACUAUUCGGAAUGGUUGUAAUAAGAAGAAAGGCAUCCACGUAGAGACACCGGAAUUGUUGGAGGUAAAGUGUUUAUUGUUGCUGUUCUUGACCUUGUUGUACGAGUCAUUUAUUUGCUGGUAUAUAAUUCAUCAAUAUAACCUCAUCAAUAUAAGAGAAACCCUCAUCUCAAUGCGCAUGCCUACCUACUCAUAAAUCCUCAAAUGACAUUAUGCCGUUUGACUGUAAUAUAUGAGUUUGGUUAGAUGUGGCUAGUUUAUGGACCAUAUCUUUAAUAAUAUUGUUUUUCCUCCGUUUUUUUUUCAACCUUUUCUUUCACAAAAAGGAUUAGAACUUUUCAGUACAUAAACUUUAAUCCCUUUUGAGGGUUGCCGGCUUUUAUGUCUCCAACUUACUUCAGUAUCAUUGGUUCACACCACUUGACGAUGCAUGUGAAGCUUUAUAGGACUUGUUCUAGAUGUCCUUGUAUACGCCUGAAAAUGGUCAGUAGAUCCUCUUAAAGUUUUCUAGAGUGCCCUUUUCUAUGGGAAAAAAAAUCCUUUAAUUCCUAGUCUUAGUUUGGAUUCUAAUUCUUGCACUGCUCUUGGAUAAUUUUACAAGUGAAAUAUGAGAGGAUGAAUCAGGCGAAUGAUUAUGACUGCUUUGAAGUUCGAUACACAUAUUGGAUGAACGCAAGCUUCUGUUGAUCAUUGUAGCAUGGGUUUGGAUUUCUUCUGUUCUGGCUGCUGACUUGAUGAUUGGUUUAAAGAUAACUUUUCUUAAUUACUUGUGUGGAUGUUUUUUAAUGAGUUAAAGAGACUUUAACAAGCCUGCAGCUUUCAUUGGUUUAAGAGCCGAUAGCAGAAGACUCCUUUCAGCCCUCUGCCAUGCUACCCUCCGUCAAAUUUUAUAGGAUUGAUUGCAGGGUAAACUCUAUAUGCUAUCGCCAAUUUGAGAUCACUAUCCGUCAAGUUCUAGUGUGUUGCAGAUAGAUGGCUUAUAUUGCAGCUCCCGAGUGGCAGAAACAUCAUGCUGCUUUGAUUACACUUGCACAGAUUGCAGAAGGUUGUUCAAAGGUCACGAUUAAGAAUUUGGAGCAAGUGGUGCACAUGGUCUUGAACUCAUUUCAAGAUCCACAUCCAAGAGUGAGAUGGGCAGCGAUUAAUGCCAUUGGACAGCUUUCUACGGAUUUGGGUCCGGAUUUGCAAGUGCAGUACCACCAGAGGGUGCUACCUGCUUUGGCAUCUGCGAUGGAUGAUUUCCAGAACCCUCGUGUGCAGGAAACAUCUCAUGAAGAACAAGCAUAUAAACGAGGAUGGUUGGUGAGACUACAAAGAUAGGUCAGCGUAAAAGGAAGAACAGUAUUAUGGUGGAGAAUUAUGCGAGGGAUGUGAAUGCCAUGGAAGGCCUUACGCAAGUCAGUCAAGAAGCUCCCCAAGAUGGACCAGUUACAAAGUUGUUAUGCUUUGAAAAGCUGCAGUACUAGUACUCAAUUUCUGAAGAUGAUGAGUCUCCCAAGUCAUAUGUAAUGCAACAAAGUUAGUUUUUGUUGUUCUGUGUACUAUGGUUAAUUUCUUGUACUCCAUGUUGGAUUAUCCAAAGACUAGUAUUUGUUUUUUGGCACGUUUGUGUUGACUCUUCCUGUAUGCUACAACUUGGUUAUGUAUCAGUUUGAACGUUUAAAUGAAAUAUUUGCUUUUAUGGUUGUCA